GUGCAUACCAAGGCUUCAGAGCUAGAAAAGCUGAAAAGAAGCAUGUUAUAAGGACUGCUUGGCUGGAACUAACCAAAUGGAAGUACAUGCACGGAGCAGCCGCAGACUUUUUGCCACUCUCUGCUGAGCCUUCUCUAGAGUGACAUGGACUGGAGGAGACCAGUGUGACUCCAGGAGACCACAGACCACCUAGCAUUUCCCCUUCAGCCCCAGUGCAGCUCUCUUCAGCCAGGAAGUAGUUCCUGCUUUGUCUUAGCGCAUUCUCUGUUGCAGGGAGAAAGUGACUGGACUUGUGUCCUCUGAACCCUCGAAAGUCCAGAA